UACGGGGGGAGCAAGCGUUGUUCGGAUUUACUGGGCGUAAAGGGUGCGUAGGCGGGUCUUUAAGUCAGAGGUGAAAUCCUGGAGCUCAACUCCAGAACUGCCUUUGAUACUGAGGAUCUUGAGUUCGGGAGAGGUGAGUGGAACUGCGAGUGUAGAGGUGAAAUUCGUAGAUAUUCGCAAGAACACCAGUGGCGAAGGCGGCUCACUGGCCCGAUACUGACGCUGAGGCACGAAAGCGUGGGGAGCAAACAGG
rnacentral:rRNA from 1 species